GAUUGCGAUCAUACCAGCACUAAUGCACCGGAUCCCAUCAGAACUCCGCAGUUAAGCGUGCUUGGGCGAGAGUAGUACUAGGAUGGGUGACCCCCUGGAAGUCCUCGUGUUGCAACCC
rnacentral:rRNA from 1 species